AGCCCCGCCCACGACGACCCGCCCACGGGCGUCCAACGGGCAUGCGCGCGCUGUGCAGAGCCAAUCAGGGACGGCGAAGCACGGGGACCGCUGGGAUGGGGCGGGGCCGGGCCGCGGGGUACGCUCUGGUCUCCUCCGCCGGAGCCAGGGCUCUCGACAGGCUGCUCUGAGGUCCAGCUGGCGUCCAGUGGUCCAGAUGGUUCUAGACCCUUGCCAGCCCUGGCCAAUGAGAUGUUAAAGGACCCUGCUCCCUCGACCCAGUGGGCAAGCGGGUGAGGGACUGAAGGAAAGCCGUCAACCAAGGAACUGGUCCAGCGCUUCACCCUCAGGACCAGAAGGCAAUCUGUCCGUCCCCUUGUUUCCUGUCCUGCAGCCCAGGCCCCUGCUGCCAACAAGCCGAGGCACGUGAGGAAGCCCUGUUCUCCAUUCCCGUGCCCAGCCCAGCCCAGCCCUGACCGAGCCCCAGCUGAGACCCGGUCCUCUCUCCCACUCAUUUGAUCUCAUUCUCCUCUCGCUUCCCACACCUACCACGCUUCCUCUCCCCAACCUUGUCCUCUUGUCUCUCAAGCAGAUUAUGUUUCUUUAGUAGAAGCAAACGUCAAACCUUUAAAGAGAAUCAUAACUGAAGACUUCUGCUAUGCAAGAUUCGUAUAGAUAAUCACUCUGGAUAUGAACCCAUUUUCCAAAAUUACAAAGCAAGAGAGGCUAAACUCACUAGAGCACUGGAGUCCCUGUAAGUUCUGCUCCUGUGAGCUCCAGCCACGUGAGCCUGCCCUGGGCUUUUGAACUCACCAAACCUCCCCCAUCUCAGGCUAGCUCCUAAUAAUAAUUCAGGACCAACACAACUGCUUCUCUCUCUGAGAAGCCUUCUCUAAUACUGCAAUCUAAACAAGGUUCCUCUCCUGUAGUUUCUCACAGUAUUGUCCUUUUCUUUCCUAGCACUUAUCAAUAUUUUAUUUAUUGGUACUGGGGAUGGAAUCCAAGGACACUCUACCACUGGGCUCUAUUCUCAGCUCUCUCUCACUUGCCCUUUUAAAUUUUGAGACAGUCUGGUUAAGUUGCUGAGAUUGACCUCAAACUUGAGAUCCUUCUGCCUCAGCCUCCCAAGUUGCUGGGAUUGCAGCACAAUUAUAGGUACUGGCAAUACAGCUAGAAAGCAAGAGAGAUGAAGACCUUCUUCCCAUGGAAUUGCAUUCUGAGAGUCAGGAUAACGCCCUAUGAGAUCAAGCUCCAGUGCCAGGUCCUGGCAUUCAGGCCCAUGUGGUGUCUUCUGCAUUCUCAUCUCUGGAUAUUUUGCUCAUGCUCGUGUUUUUUGCUCACCCAGGUGUAUGUCAUGUAAAGAUACUGAAGUUUCGAGGGGGAUGAAAGGUCUUGUCCAAAGGCAUACGGUCACUAAGCAUUGAGGUUGGGAUUUGAUCCAAAGAUGCCUGAUGUUCUUGUGUGUGUAUCUCUUGUCCCACGAUAGAAGCUCAAAACACCUUCCUGAUGGAGCUAUCUCAUCAUUUCACAUGUAUUUUUCCGUCUUGUGACACCAUCACAGAAUGGGGCUAUCCAAACAACAAAUCACAGUUUAUCAACAAUGGUUCUGAGGCCAGGUUUAAGAGUAAAUCUCAAUCCAUGGAGAACCAGCACAAGGGAUAGGUGGGGGUUGAGAGGAAUUUGUGAGCUGUGGAGAUUCUGAUGGCUCUGGAUUUAUUAUCAACUCCAUGCUUUCUAGGGACUCAGUGGGUUUUGUGGACUUUUGUAAUUCCAUGGAUACUGGGGACUCCCGGUGUCAUGGAGUUUUCACAGCCUUCACUGUCUGCAGUUUAGCUUGCUUUCCUGGAAGGAGUUAUGGAACAGUCAAGCAAAGAAAGAAGGAUAUUGGAACAAGCCUAGAGAUGAGUAUCCAAAUCUUAAAAGGACAGCUCUUUGAGUACAGAGGUAUUUUGUUACAGCAGCAGAAAAUGGACUAAGGCAUACUCACAUGAAGGGGAGGAGGCAGAGGAAGAGCAAUGUGACUGCCAUAGAUCCAUAGACAACACCCUGGAGCAGCCCUUUCAGAAAGAUCUGGGGAGCCAAAGGACUCCUUCCUGGAAGGAGAGAGCUCGUGAGGAAGGUUUCCCUCCAAAGACCUCAGAUUCAGAGCCCUCCUCUGGUUGCAGUGCCAGUGCCCCCACCAACCCCCAGCCCCACCCUGCUCACUACUGACCUCACCUAGUCACCGGGUCCUCCACUCACCUGACAUCAGUAGAAUGCUCACAGCAUGGGUUCCGUUUUGGUUCUUUCCCUCACAGAGAAGGCUUGUGCCCAUCUCUGGCUCCUUGGCCAGGCUGAUGGUGCUGUUGGCCCAGGGACCAAGCGUGGUGGAAGUCACCCGGAGGCCGCCAUCCACGCUGUUCACACCCACAGGGACACCGCCCACCCACCACUGCACAGAGGGCGUGGGGACCCCGUGGAAGGAGCAGCUGCACUGCAGUGUCUUCUCCAAGGAGCAGGAGGAGUCGAGCAGCCUGGCGGGUGCUGUGGAGAAGGAGUGGGAGUUAGCAAAGCACCCCGACUUCCCUGCUCCCCCCAGGACCCAGGGAGCUUCAGGCAGACUUUCUAGAACCCCACAGGAUCUAGGCCUCACAAACCAGUACCCCAUUAUCCCCCACCCCUGGGGUGCUCAGCCUUGGGAUGAUGGCGAGUGAUUUUCUGAGUUCCUGCCUUGCCUCCGAUCCCCGUUCCCCAGAGUAACUGUCUGUCAGACUUCUCCAGAAGAACAGGAGAAAUAGAAGAUCUGCAACUACAGGAGAAGAUGUCUUAGAGUAGCUUACAGGAUCGGAGGAUGGACAGUCCCGCAGCGGCCAGCAAACCUGGGGCUUCUCAGCCCAAAAGCUGGGAGCCUCAGAACAAGGGGACCAACGAUGCCGCUCUAGUCCGAGGCUGGAGACGUGAACACCGACCACCACCCACCACCACCACCUCCGAGAGCGGCUGGUGCUUCAACAUUCAGAGGCUGAAGAAUCUGGGGUCUGACUUCGGCCAGCAGCAGAACACACCACGCAAGAAGGGCCCCUGCCUCUGGAUUUUCCUCCUCUGGACAUUUCCUAGUGUUGGAAUCAUACAAUAUGUGAUCAUUUGUGUCGGGCUUCUCAUGGAGCAUCAUGGUCUUGAGAUUCAUCCAUGCUGGAGUGGACAUCCAUGAUCAGUCCUUCUAUGGCUGAGUGAUACUCCACCAUAUGGUGUGAGACAGGAAGAGGAGAAGAUGCUCAUCUAAAAUCCAGGGGGAAAACCCUCACCAGGAAACAGAUUGGCCAGCACCUGGAACCUGGACUUUUAGCCCACAGGACAUAGAAGUAAAUUUCUGUGAAGUCGCCCAGUGCACAGUGUUUUGUUACAGCAGCUCAACAGACCAAGACACACUGUGUGCUUACUAUUAUAAAACAAUAGCAUUGCAAGGUUGAAGGGGAGCAGGCUGGGUUGGGACCCUAAGGAGAAUGAGGGCAGAGUUUGGGACAAGAAUGUAGCCCUGGAGGAUGGGGUUGUGGCUCAGUGGUAGGGAGCUUGCCUAGCAUGUGGGAGGCACUGAGUUUGAUUCUCAGAACCACAUAAAAAUAAAUAAAUAAAAUACACGUCCAUUGACAAUGAAACAAUAUUUUUUUAAAAAAGAAUAUGGUUUGAAGGCAAAGGAGCAUCUUUUAAUCAUUAUGAGUAAAAUAUGUAGAAGUGGCUAUUAAUUGAAUGAAUAAAUAACCACCAAACUUAAAAAAAAAAUGUAGCCCUGGGACAGGUGAGAGGGGAAGUGGCCUUGUGACCCUUGGGGACAGCAGGAGGAUGGAGUUGGAAGGUGACAGUGGGUGGUUCCUGCCUUUGCUGGUCCUGCACCUGGUCUGACCUCCUCCUGAGCUGUGAAACCCAGGUCUUGUCUGAAGCUGAAACAGUCCCCACCUCCAUCACACCCCGGGGAGGGUGGCUGUGCCCCCCUGUGCCAUCUCACAUGGCCGGGUUCUGUGGAGACAGGAUUGUUCCUCUCAAGUAGCAGGAAGGUGGCUGUGGAUACCUGUCCCAGAGAUUUAGGAAGGGGAAGGCGAUGGGGUCUGUGAUGCUCCCCCUUCCUCCUCAGUCCUGGCCUUUAGGGACCUGGGCACCCUGACCUGGCACUCACAGGACACCUCUAGCCUGACAGCUCUCUCCACUGUCACCUCCGCUCAAGGGAGGUCACGGGAAAGGUGCGGUAGGAGCCCUGGUCGUGGGGCCCUGGUGAGAGGUGACACUGGGGAGCGGGGCGUUCUCAGGCCUGGGGGAGAGGCUUGUGCUGCCUUGGGAGGCGCGUGGCCUCUCUGCGCAGCUGGAGGCCCUGCCCUCAGGGGUGUGGGCUGAGCCUACAGUGAAAUGGGGUCAAUCAAGGGAACUGAGGGGUGGGUUGGAGGUGGGUGUGGUUUCCUGAGUGUGGUCAAGGGGGGCCUGGCUGAGAAGAGAACACCAAACCCCAUGACUCCGCCCACACCGCAGGUUGGCUCCACCCACUGGCCACACAGAGAGGAGGGGCUUGCAGGCUCAGCUUCUGAUUGGCUCUGGUGGCUGCUCCACGUGGCACCUGGAGCCAUCUGUCCUACAGGCUGGAAGUGGAGUCAGCGUUUGGAGCCACUGAUUGGCUGCGGGGUGGGUGGUCCCUGUGAGGUCCAGGGUGGCCCAGGGCUGCAGUGAAGCCCUCCACCCCGUGCCCCGCACUGCAGGAGAAGGUUGACUGGCCCCCUGUAGUGGCGGAGGGAUCUGAGUCAGGCUCCAUAAACUGGGCUGCAGGAGGCCUGGCUGGUCUCUAAUGGGCCACUGUAGCUAGCCCGGCAGCAACCAUCAGUCCAACCCCGCGUCCAAGACCCUCACCACCGCCCUGCCGGCCUGUCGGGUGUGCAUGACCAGCUCCUGAUGGUUGGACCCCAAGAGCGAAGACUUCUGGUCAAUUCGCUCAGAGCCCAUUCAUUUACUGGUCAGUGAACCUGCUCAGCCUGUCACCCUCAGUCACCUGGACCUGCAUAAUAUAGCCAGUGGGUCACCAGUCACAAGGCAGCCAGUGUGUGUUAGUGACCACGUCACUGUCCUGAAGGGUGGAAAGCUCUUCCUCUUGAGGAUUGGUUCAUGUGGUCACCCCCAGUCUGCCAGCCCGAGGCACCAUUAGGAUCCACUGUCCUCUUACUAAGAUAGUCCCACUCUAGGUCACCAGUCCCCAGCCCUGUGCCUGUCCCAUGGGUAGGGCAGGUAAUGGGUUUCACUGUGGCCCAUCUGUUCCCCAAGAAGGUCUCACUUUGGGACAGGCACACACAGGGCGUCAGGGGUUGUCUGCUGUCCCACUCCACCACUGUCCCUUCUGCCUCAGUCAUGUUCUUAUCCUGUCUGCCCUGGGGUCUCGGGAAACCCAAGUCUCAACCUCCUCCUUCAUCACCACCUCCUCCUCCUCCUCCUCCUCCUGCUCUCUGGGGACAUGGGUGGUGACUGAGCCACCAGGUGAGCUCUGCAGCCAACAGCCCUCACAGCUGUCCACGGGGGACACUCUGGUUCCCCCUGUUCAGCCCCUUCAUUAGCACAUUGGUCCCCCCAGGAGCUUGGAGACCUGGCAGGAGAAGGGACACUCUCCCAAGGGAUGUUCCUCUGGGGCUGGGAUGGACCAGGAGAUGAGAAGAACUUUCCAGACACCCUGAGGGGCUCUCAGAACAUCCUGUGAGUCCACCUCACCUUCAUGGGACCCUCAGGCAGGGCUAGGACAGGGCUCCAGGGACAGGUCCACUUCCCAGUGCUCCUGGGCUCCCUGCUGGCCUGGGACCCAGGACCCCCCUCUUAGCCUCCUGCCUUUCUACUCCCCACACUGUAGGGGGCCAGUUCCCCUCUCCCCUGGCCUGGCUGGUCCCUUCCUGCAUUCCUGAGCAAGCUGCCUGGCCCCGUCCAUCCUGCACUGGUCACUCUGAGCGUGGAUGCACCUGGUGCCCCAGGUUGGGCCAGCACCAGGGUUGCGAGGCCAUGGGGUCCCUGGAUCCCAGCAGCAGGAGGAGAACGGUGACGUCAGUGAGCAGGGCAGCUGGGCCCUGGGAGCUAAGUCAUCCAGAUGGCAGGCAGUGGCCAGAGGCACUGUGACUCUGUCAUUUCUCUCCUACCAGGACAUUGGGUCUGGCUGGCCGGAGGGCCAGAGCUCCAGUGUCCCAGGGCAGAGUGAAGGAGCCCUCAGGACCCAGGGUGGCUGCUGCCCUGCUGUGUGUGUUGUAGCAUGAGCGGGUCCUGCCUGUGUCCAUGGCCAGGGUUUGUGCAUUGUGGUGUGUUUGUGUUGGUUAUCUGUGGGCUCUGUUUGUGUCUGAGGUAGGUGUGUGUGUGCAUAUGUGGUGUGCACGUCAGCAUCUGGAGUGUAUAUGUGUCCUGCAUGUGUGUCUGCAUGUGUGUGCAUGGUCUUUGUGCACAUGUCUGAGGUGUGCAUGUGGAUUUUUGUGUGCUUGAGCUGUGAUGUGUCUGAGGUGUGUAUGCAUCUCAACUGCUAGUGUAUGUGUGUGUCUGCACGAGUAAUAUGUGUGAAUUUUGAGGUGUGCCUGUUUGUAGGUGUGAAUAUGUGUUUGAAUGUGUACGUGCAUGUGAGUGACAUAUGGUCACACUCUGCAUGAGCAUAAAGGAUUUAUUUGUAUAUCGGUGUGUGUGUCUAUAGUCUUUGUAUGUGUACUUGUGUGGAUUGUGUGUGCAUCUUCAUAAUUGCCAUGUUAUGUGUGUGCAUUUGCAAAUAUUAGUUUUUCAGGGAUGAUCUCCAUCGGAGACAUAUUGAAGAGUCCAGUCCACCCUCAUUCCCCAUAACAUAAUCCUAUUUUGUUUCACUCCAAACUUCUUGUCACCAACCAGAAUAACAUGUAAUAUACUUAGUUAUUUUCCUGCCUUUCUCACUAUUAAGUUGUGUACCUAAUGAAAGAUUUUGUAUCUCUUCUACUUACUGCUGAAUCCUUCUUAGAACAAUGUGUGGCAUAUGUGAGGUGCUCACUAGUUACUUUAUGAAUGGAAAUAUAGAAAUUCAAAAUGAGAUUGCUUCUCCAAGGGACGACUCUGUGCUCUUAGAGCAUCCUGUCUGCAGUGAUCUGAUCCCAGCCUGCUGUGCCUUUGUGCUGUGUGACAAUGCCCUAAGGGGAGAUGGAGAAGGGCAAGCCAUUCCUCCACACAUGCACCUGCCUUCUGUCUCCUGGAGGCCCUUGGUGCCCACACAGUGAGCUGGUUUCCUAGUUCAUCCACAAAUUUCUAUCAAAACACCUGUGUUUCUUUCUCUCCUUUCUGGAUCUCUCAUUAGUGAUGAGUGAAGUAAAAUAUCUAGUGUGUUAA